rnacentral:rRNA from 1 species
UACGUAGGGGGCAAGCGUUGUCCGGAUUUAUUGGGCGUAAAGAGCGUGUAGGCGGCUAGGUAGGUCCGUUGUGAAAACUCGAGGCUCAACCUCGAGACGCCGAUGGAAACCAUCUGGCUAGAGUCCGGAAGAGGAGAGUGGAAUUCCUGGUGUAGCGGUGAAAUGCGCAGAUAUCAGGAGGAACACCAACGGCGAAGGCAGCACUCUGGGCCGGUACUGACGCUGAGGAGCGAAAGCGUGGGGAGCAAACAGG